UGUCCAGUGAUGGGAAUCGAACCCACAGUGUUCCGCUUACCGGGCAGAUGCCAUGUCCACUAGGCUACCCUGUAC
rnacentral:tRNA from 1 species